UGACCGCACGGGGAUUCCCAGUGCCGGCGCCAGGGGCACGCGGGACACGCCCCCUCCCGCCGCGCCAUUGGCCUCUCCGCCCACCACCCGGCACUUAUUGGCCAGCUCGCCGCCAAUCAGCGGAGGCUGCUGGAGCCGCCUAAAGAAGAGGCUGUGCUCCGAGGCUCCGGCUCCUCAGAGAGCCUCGGCUAGAUUGUUCCUAGGGGACAGGACAGUGCUUGUUUAAGGCUGUAUUCCUGCUGUCUGAGCAGGACCGUCUUCGAGAUCAACAUACUUUUCAUAAUACCAAGGCUGUUGCCUUUUACAUUCUCAGAAGCAAGCAGAGGCACAUGAUGUUGUGUUAAAUACUGUCACUAUGUUAAAUAUUGCUGUGCAGUUCCGGUUUUCCUAAGGUAGUUUAGGUACUAUGUAUAUGUUUUGAAUUAACUGUUACACCUUCCAUAAUCCAUGCAGUGUGUCAUGAAAUUGUUAAGUCUUGUAGCUUCGUACAUAAGGAUAAAGGUGUUUUAUUGUCAUGUUUUGAACAUUUCCCCAAAGUUCCGAAUUAUAAAAUUGCAACUUUAGAAUUCAUUUAAGGAAGAUGGUUGUGGUUUAAGAUGAUGCUUAAUUACCAUUUAUGUUUUGUGUUAGAAGAUAUUAUAUAAAACUGACGUGUGGAAGUGCUGGUCAAGAAAUUUUAAGAAAUGUGUACUGUCUUUAGAAAGCAUUUAACUAGCAUGUCUUUUGCAACAUACUAACUUUGAAUAGUGUUGGCACCAGCUAUGUUGUAGAGUCAUUUUAAAGAGGCCUUCUAAUGAGUGUUGGAUUGUUUUGAAUGCUGUUGAAUGUUUUAAAUGCAGACUUGUUUGUAUUCCAUAAGACAACUGUCAGAAGCUUCAAACUAGAAACAUAAGCUGAAAUAUUUCAGAAGGUAAACAAGCUACUUGUAUUGGCUGUAAUGUAUAAUGGUUAUGGUUUUAAAGUUAGCAUUGCUGAGUAGUAUCUACCUGCCAGGUGAAAAGAAAUGUUCCUAGUGGUUCUUUUGAAUAGUAUAGCAACUUGUUAUGUAAAAAUCUUUCCACAGAUAUGAACUCUAAUUCAUACAUGUAGGUGUAUAUGUAAUACCUUACCGAUGGAUGAAGCUACAAACAUGACUGGACUUUAUAUUGUGAUUGUAUUUAUUUAUGUGAAAACUUGGCAAUAAACCUAUGUCCUAAAAUAGUCAAAA